rnacentral:rRNA from 1 species
AUUCCAGCUCCAAUAGCGUAUAUUUAAGUUGCUGCAGUUAAAAAGCUCGUAGUUGGAUUUCGGAUGGGAUUUGCCGGUCCGCCGUUCCGGUGUGCACUGGCCAGUCUCAUCUUGUUGUUGGGGACUAGCUCCUGGGCUUCACUGUCCGGGACUAGGAGCUGACGAGGUUACUUUGAGUAAAUUAGAGUGUUCAAAGCAAGCCUACGCUCUGAAUACAUUAGCAUGGAAUAACAUGAUAGGACUCUGGCUUAUCUUGUUGGUCUGUGAGACCAGAGUAAUGAUUAAGAGGGACAGUCGGGGACAUUCGUAUUUCAUUGUCAGAGGUGAAAUUCUUGGAUUUAUGAAAGACGAACUUCUGCGAAAGCAUUUACCAAAGAUGUUUUCAUCA